GCCCCUGUAGCUCAAAGGAUAGAGCAGUCGCGUCCUAAGUGAAGGGUUGUGUGUUCGAGUCACACCAGGGGUA
rnacentral:tRNA from 1 species